rnacentral:lncRNA from 1 species
UCAGAAAAAAAAAAAAAAAAGAAUAUUAAAUUCCAUUACUAUCUAUUUACUGGUUCAGUGAUUGUGAGCUGAGGUGAUAUUAAAAUUUCUAAUCUUCCCUUGUGUUUGUCUUUCUCUGGGGCCAGUUUUAUGUACAUAGUCACUUGUGCAUAUAAUUCCUAGCUGAUUCAGUAAAUAUGUACAACUGAAGACUGAACCCUCAGAAACUGACAUGAACCUGCCUUUAAUAACAGUCUAAGACACUGAUAACAGUCUAAGACAUCUGCAAUCUUGAGGGCCAGAGACACCAAAGAUCCAGGUGUAACUCAAGAAACAUCUUUAUCCUGAGAUCUAGAGAUGUUUAGAAAACCUAACUGGUAGAUAAUUCUGCCAGUAGACUCAACCAUGUCAGGCCUUGGAUCCUGCAGAUGAUGCGUGGGCACUUGAAGAGAGCAGG